UGACCCCAUCGCCGCACCGAACAUGGCCUGGCAUGGCAUGGCUCUGUGUGCCAAAUACGACCCGUUCUGCUUCGGUGUUGUAACAUUUCUGCAUUGUGUCAUCCCCUUUCAUUGUCGGCGUUCAUGAAAUAUCGCAACUGUCAGAAGCGCAAGUAGAAGAAAAGGAAGUAGAAGAAGAGAGCGUUGUGUGGCGCACAGGGAGUUGUGAAGGGGGGAGAGAAAGCGAGAGAGAGAGAGAGAGAGCGAGAGAGGGUGUGUCGUGUGUUUCGUUUGUAUUCUUUGUUGUUGGAUUGUUUGGUUGGUUUGGUUUAUGAGUAGUCCUGUGCGGGGGAAGGUUGCGAGGGAGCUCAACCCUCGAUGGCGCAGUCUGGGAAGCCGCUGCAUCCGCAGCUGGACCAGCACAACACCAAGGAGCUGAACCUGACGGUCUUGCAGCGGAUGGACCGUUAUGUAGAGGAUAUUUUGACCACUGCUGGUCAUGUCACCUUGUUCCAGUUCGACACCGUUACCCAACAAUGGAUUCGCAAGGAUGUGGAGGGCUCACUUUUUGUUGUAAAAAGGCGCUCACAGCCACGGUUCCAGUUCAUAGUGAUGAAUCGGCAGAGUACGGACAAUUUGGUGGAGAAUCUGUUAGGUGAUUUUGAGUAUGAAGUGCAAGCUCCGAAUCUUCUAUACCGCAAUGCUAAUCAGGAAACGAAUUACAUCUUGUUUACUAAUAAGCGGGAGUGUGAAGAAGUUGAUUCUCUUUUUCAAAGAAUCUUGAACGCCUUCUCGAAACCUCCUUCAAAACCAAGGUUGAUUCCUGCAAGCUCAGAUUAUGUGGAACUUGAGGCUGCCCCUACUUCAGUAAACUUUGAAGGUCCAUUGGAGCGAGGUCCUAUCGCUUCCUCAACAAUGCUCGAGAUGCAGGAUGAACCACUGGAGCGUCGUUUGAAUACAGUGCGUACAAGCACACCCGAUAUUGUUCCCUCAACAGCAACUCGUCCUCCAAUAAAUCAUUCAGUGCAGUCUCGUACAAGUGUACCUGCUUCUCCUACUCUUGCUCCGAUGCCUUUGUCAUCCAUUCUUUCUUCAACAACAGCCUCACCGCUGAAUUCUCUUGCUCCACCUUUGCCUCUUGAUACCCCUGAUAACCCCUCUGCAGGUCGUGCAACUCUUAUAAAGCCAUCCUUCUUUGUUCCUCCUUUUUCUUCAGUUCACAGCACCCCUAGUGCCCCUCUGAUUCCGUCUUCAACUCCUGUGGUACCUUCCCAUGGUGCUCCAUUGCUUCAACCCUAUCCUCCUCCGAAUCCGCCACAUUCACUUUCUCCAGCCAUGCAACAGGGUGUACCAGUAACUAGGGAUGGGGUCCGAGAUGCACUCAAUCGCCUCGUCAAGAAUGAGCAUUUCAUAGAGAUGGUGUAUCGAGAGAUGAACACACACAGUUUUCGAUACGGUUGAAGGAUUCAGGCAGAAGAAGAUUAUCACUUUAUUGCAAGCUUGUGAAGCUUUUAGUAACCAUUUGGUGAGACUCUUAUCGGUUCUCUUACAAUCUUCUACUUCUCAUUCGAGAUUUUGGGUUUCUGUUUUCAAGUCUUCGAGGAAAUUCCAGCACCUGGGGGCUCCUUUACAAUUGAAGAAAUGGGGUUCAGAGGAAGUCCUUUCUAUGUGCUCUGAGUCCUCAGAAAACCUCUGCUUCUGUGCUGGUGGGCAUGAGUCUUUCGGUGAGUCUUUGUAGACAUUGUUUGGCACAUAUACAAAGCUCCAAAGUUGCGUCUUGGUUACUGUUAUUACUGGUAACUACCGAAUCAAGCACAACUUUAUCUCACAAACUAAUGUAGUGAAUAACCAAGUUCGGGUUGCAGAAGACAUCUUAAUACUAAAGAUGGUAGCUAUGUACUUUGGAGGAGAAAGGUUACUUCUACAAGCAAAGUAUCUUUGGAGGGAAGCAUCUAAAAUAGGUAUUAAUUAAAGGUGGGAAGGUGGUUUGAUUCUUUAGAUAUUUAUUAAGAUAAAAUAAACCAGUAGUCUAUUGACAUAUUUGUAAUUUAUAAAUGUUGAUCUUAAUAUGA